GUAAAAUUUAAAGUCUCUACUCUGAGGAAAAAAAAAAGCCUGGUACUUCAUUAAAAGCCAGAAAAGUCAGCAUGGGAAACAAAUUUUAAGGAAAGAUUUCUGGCCUGUGAAGGAGGAGGAUGCUCAUAGAUUUGUCUUUGUGGAUUGUCUUGGCUGUUAACUGCUGCAGUGAGGUCCAGCUCACUAAGGGCUAGGCCAUCACCAGGCAGGUGGUCCUAAACUGUAUAAGAAGGAGAUGAGCGUAAACUGACCUGCAAGCCAGAUGGUACAUGAGUGUUUUUCCUGCAUUUGUGUUUUUCUUCCG